UACGGAGGGGGUUAGCGUUGUUCGGAAUGACUGGGUGUAAAGCGCGCGUAGGCGGAUCAGGAAGUUGGGGGUGAAAUCCCGGGGCUCAACCCCGGAAUGGCCUUCAAAACUCCUGGUCUUGAGUUCGAGAGAGGUGAGUGGAAUUCCGAGUGUAGAGGUGAAAUUCGUAGAUAUUCGGAGGAACACCAGUGGCGAAGGCGGCUCACUGGCUCGACACUGACGCUGAGGUGCGAAAGCGUGGGGAGCAAACAGG
rnacentral:rRNA from 1 species